UGGGGUGGGAGGUUGGUGUGUG
rnacentral:miRNA from 1 species